rnacentral:misc_RNA from 1 species
GAUGAAGAACGCAGCGAAAUGCGAUAAGUAAUGCGAAUUGCAGAAUUUCCGUGAGUCAUCGAAUCUUUGAACGCACAUUGCGCCCACUGGUAUUCCGGUGGGCAUGCCUGUUCGAGUGUCAUUAUCCUCCCUCAAACCCCGGGUUUGGUGUUGGACCCAAGUUGUGUGAACAACUGGUCUCAAAGACAAUGACGGCGUCCGUGGGACCCUCGGUGCAACGAGCUUUUAGGAGCACGCGCCGAGUUGCAAGGACCUUCCGGGCCGGUCUCCUUUACUAUUUUACAAGGUUGACCUCGGAUCAGGUAGGAAUACCCGCUGAACUUAAGCAUAUCAAUAAGCGGAGGA